rnacentral:rRNA from 1 species
CAAUAGCGUAUAUUAAAGUUGUUGCAGUUAAAAAGCUCGUAGUUGGAUUUCGGGGCAGCCUGGCUGGUCCGCCGCAAGGCGAGUACUGGUCAGCCGCCCUUCCUCUCGAAAGCCCCGACUGCUCUUUAUUGCAGUGGUCGGGUAGUUCGGGACGUUUACUUUGAAAAAAUUAGAGUGUUCAAGGUAGGCCUACGCCUGAAUACAUUAGCAUGGAAUAAUGGAAGAGGACCUCGGUCCUAUUUUGUUGGUUUCCAGGACCGAAGUAAUGAUUAAGAGGGACAGUUGGGGGCAUUCGUAUUUAAUUGUCAGAGGUGAAAUUCUCGGAUUUAUGAAAGACGAACAACUGCGAAAGCAUUUGCCAAGGAUGUUUUCAUUAA